UACGUAGGGGGCAAGCGUUGUCCGGAUUUAUUGAGCGUAAAGAGCGUGUAGGCGGCCAGGUAGGUCAGCUGUGAAAACUCGAGGCUCAACCUCGAGACGUCGGUUGAAACCACCUGGCUAGAGUCCGGAAGAGGAGAGUGGAAUUCCUGGUGUAGCGGUGAAAUGCGCAGAUAUCAGGAAGAACACCCGUGGCGAAGGCGGCUCUCUGGGACGGUACUGACGCUGAGACGCGAAAGCGUGGGGAGCGAACAGG
rnacentral:rRNA from 1 species